UAAUACGUAGGGUCCAAGCGUUAAUCGGAAUUACUGGGCGUAAAGCGUGCGCAGGCGGUUGUGUAAGACAGAUGUGAAAUCCCCGGGCUUAACCUGGGAACUGCAUUUGUGACUGCACGGCUAGAGUGUGAUAGAGGGGGGUAGAAUUCCACGUGUAGCAGUGAAAUGCGUAGAUAUGUGGAGGAAUACCAAUGGCGAAGGCAGCCCCCUGGAUCAAUACUGACGCUCAUGCACGAAAGCGUGGGGAGCAAACAGGAUUAGAUACCCUGGUAGUCCACGCCCUAAACGAUGCCUACUAGUUGUUGGGAAUUUAUUUUCUCAGUAACGAAGCUAACGCGUGAAGUAGGCCGCCUGGGGAGUACGGUCGCAAGAUUA
rnacentral:rRNA from 1 species